ACCCUCUCAGGGUUGCACCUGGAGAGUUUCCAGUACUCUGCAAGUCUCGACUACAGGAGGGAGAGUCUAGCAGACAUAUACUCAUUCAAUUCCUAGCUUGGCCAGUAGCUAGUGAGUGGAAAACAAUUUGCUACAAGU